rnacentral:rRNA from 1 species
AUUGAACGCUGGCGGCAUGCCUUACACAUGCAAGUCGAACGGCAGCACGGGAGCAAUCCUGGUGGCGAGUGGCGAACGGGUGAGUAAUACAUCGGAACGUGCCCAGUAGUGGGGGAUAACCCGGCGAAAGCCGGACUAAUACCGCAUACGACCUACGGGUGAAAGCAGGGGAUCGCAAGACCUUGCGCUAUCGGAGCGGCCGAUGUCAGAUUAGCUAGUUGGAGGGUAAAGCCUACCAAGGCGACGAUCUGUAGCUGGUCUGAGAGGACGACCAGCCACACUGGGGCUGAGACACGGCCCAAACUCCUACGGGAGGCAGCAGUGGGGAAUAUUGGACAAUGGGCGAAAGCCUGAUCCAGCAAUGCCGCGUGAGUGAUGAAGGCCUUAGGGUGUAAAGCUCUUUUACCCGGGAANAUAAUGACUGUACCGGAGAAUAAGCCCCGGCUAACCUCCGUGCCAGCCGCCGCCGUAAU